AACAAACAAGUCCUUGACUCCUUCUCUCUCCCUCCACCUUUCAUACUAUUCAGACCAGCCAGCCACCACCGCCGGCAGCCACCAACGGAGCAGCGGCACAACACCACCAGUACACCACCGAACCCCCACCACACUGCAACAACAUCUAGUCAUCUUAAAUCAAUAGGUUAACGUCACACGUUUGGAAAUUUACUCGCAUUUAUACUUACCACGUUCACAAAUCUCUAAGGAAAUUAAACGAAUUGCUAUGACUUGGAAUGCCUAUUGUUGCAUGCGCUAAGGACAGCUUAACCCGUCUCUCAGACCUUAGGAAAUUGACUUAUCACUUUGCUAAAGUCUUUAUCUUAUUAUUUUGUUUAAUAAUCUAAUGUUGUA